GCACGCCAGACGAGCCAGAUGCGUGCGUCAUGCGCCAGACCAGGCAAUCCACCGAAUCGAGCAAGGCCAGCUGUGCUUGCGAAGUUCGCCUUUUCGGCAACCCGUCUCACUUUUUCUUUUUGAUUUAGUUUGGUUUGUCUGACUCCCAGCGUAUUCUUGCGUUCCUUCUGCACUUCGACAAGGCACCAUUGCACUACUGGACAACGGCAAGGCGUUUCCACCACAUCUUCUUGGGCGAGAUCUUUGGAACACUUCCGCCGGGCUAGUGCUUCAGCUGCUACGUCCGUCUUCUCGUGUGCCAUCGCACCAGUGUCUGCGAGAAAAGAGUUUUGGACGGUCACAAGCACAUUAAUAGAAAAAAAAAUGCCAUACAUCUCAGUAUGUCAACAUCAAAACAAAAAAAAUUCCGCGAACACAGUAUGGGAAAGGACAGAAAGAGCUUUCGAGGCGAUGGAAAACACUUUAAGCCUGCUUCGACGAGACCUGCCCAAGCAAAGAAGAACGCCGUGAGAUUGCUAGAGAAGUGCAACUAAGAAAUGUUGGCUAAGGCAGUGGGCAAGUGUAGUAAUGACUGGCAUCAAGUCUUCUUCACGGAGAAGUCCCAUAAGGUGGAAUGUCCACUCAGAGCUAUUGUGACAAAGUGGAUCAUCGCAAAAAACACUGAGCAGCUUCCUUCAGCAUCAUUUGAACACCUUGAAGCCAGCGGACCCAUUCGCUCUCCGAAGUUCAGCAAACUUGGUGGAAGUGUUAAAGGACGGUCUAUCGGUGUAACCACAGCCUUUUCGUUGAUGAAGAAAUCGUUGAUUAUCUUCAAUGGCUGCAAUAUCGGGAGGAAGGUGGUUCCAUUCGACAGAUGUCCGAGGAAGAGCGUCAUUCCGUAGGAAGAACGGACCACCGGGAUGUUUGAAGCGCACGCAGUAUUAAUGUGGCUACACACAUUAGCCGAUUCGUCAAGAGCGCUGUCCUUUGUGUGAGCUAUCCGGAAAGGCAACAGCAGCAGCCACCACGGUGAGAAGACUCUGGGACGGUUCGCCUAUAGACUAUAUACAUGCUACUUGUGGCCACCUUCGGUCUCACCGGACACUUCGCACCGUUCGGAUUGGCCUGUGACAAGUCCACCUUACAUAUUCACGACAACGUUGUGUGCACAUAUACAGGCUUUGUCGAAAGAGGCAAAACCGCUACGAGUAAAAGUUUUGCCCAGUC